GAUGAACGCUGGCGGCGUGCCUAAUACAUGCAAGUCGAGCGAACGGACGAGAAGCUUGCUUCUCUGAUGUUAGCGGCGGACGGGUGAGUAACACGUCGAUAACCUACCUAUAAGACUGGGAUAACUUCGGGAAACCGGAGCUAAUACCGGAUGAUAUUUUGAACCGCAUGGUUCAAAAGUGAAAGACGGUCUUGCUGUCACUUAUAGAUGGAUCCGCGCUGCAUUAGCUAGUUGGUAAGGUAACGGCUUACCAAGGCAACGAUGCAUAGCCGACCUGAGAGGGUGAUCGGCCACACUGGAACUGAGACACGGUCCAGACUCCUACGGGAGGCAGCAGUAGGGAAUCUUCCGCAAAGGGCGAAAGCCUGACGGAGCAACGCCGCGUGAGUGAUGAAGGUCUUCGGAUCGUAAAACCCUGUUAUUAGGGAAGAACAUAUGUGUAAGUAACUGUGCACAUCUUGACGGUACCUAAUCAGAAAGCCACGGCUAACUACGUG
rnacentral:rRNA from 1 species